CGAACGGGUGAGUAACACGUGGGCAACCUGCCCAAAAGAGGGGGAUAACACUUGGAAACAGGUGCUAAUACUGCAUAACCAUAGUUACCGCAUGGUAACUAUGUAAAAGGUGGCUAUACUACCGCUUUUGGAUGGGCCCGCGGCGCAUUAGCUAGUUGGUAGGGUAAAGGCUUACCAAGGCAAUGAUGCGUAGCCGAAUUGAGAGGUUGAUCGGCCACAUUGGGACUGAGACACGGCCCAAACUCCUACGGAAGGCAGCAG
rnacentral:rRNA from 1 species